rnacentral:rRNA from 1 species
AACUAACGCUGGCGGCGUGCCUAACACAUGCAAGUCGAACGAGAAAGUUGGCUUCGGCCGAUGAGUAAAGUGGCGCACGGGUGAGUAACGCGUGGAUAAUCUGCCCUUUAGUUUGGAAUAACGUACCGAAAGGUGCGCUAAUACCGGAUAAUACUGAAUGACUACUGUCGUUUAGUCAAAGAAGGCUUCUGUUUACAUGCUUUUGCUGAAGGAUGAGUCCGCGUACCAUUAGCUAGUUGGUAGGGUAAUGGCCUACCAAGGCGACGAUGGUUAGCUGGUCUGAGAGGAUGAUCAGCCAACUGGAACUGAGACACGGUCCAGACUCCUACGGGAGCAGCAGUGAGGAAUAUUGCGCAAUGGGGGCAACCCUGACGCAGCAACGCCGCGUGAGUGAGGAAGGUUUUCGGACCGUAAAGCUCUGUCGAGCGGGAAGAAAUGCAUGGUGGCUAAUAUCCAUCAUGCUUGACGGUACCGCUAAAGGAAGCACC